GGCGGGGAUAACUAUUGGAAACGAUAGCUAAUACCGCAUAAGAGUAGAUGUUGCAUGACAUUUGCUUAAAAGGUGCAAUUGCAUCACUACCAGAUGGACCUGCGUUGUAUUAGCUAGUUGGUGGGGUAACGGCUCACCAAGGCGACGAUACAUAGCCGACCUGAGAGGGUGAUCGGCCACACUGGGACUGAGACACGGCCCAG
rnacentral:rRNA from 1 species